GACCAGCCUGGACCACAGAUCAAGACCCUGUCUCUACUAAAAAAAAAAAAGGUGAAGGCCUACAGGGAAAGAAACAAUUACCAAGAAGGCCCAAUCUGCUAGAAGGUAUUUAAACAAUAUUCCCAUUGCGUACACAAAUGCAAAUGGCAUUUGAUCAUAACUGUCUUUCUCUGUCUGUCACACCCUAGCCCCAUGCUUGCUUUAGCAGAACAGAUAGUGCCUAUUAUUCACAAAUGAUUUCUCUUACCUUCCUAGACCUGACACUUAUUUUGGAGGAUGAACAGAAGUCAUCAGCCCAUGAGAUCUUCAGAGGUUCCAUGACAAUGUUACACCCUGAGUCACAGGCUAAAUGUCUAGAACAGUCAGAUGCUUACUGGGAACCAAGAUGAUGUUUCUAAGGAGGAAAUUCAUAUAGGGUAAAAUUCGAGCAAAUCGCUUUCAGAAUUCAUGCAAGAAUCUCUCCAAAAAUUGUGCCAGCUGCUGUCUCGUGCUGUAGUUGAAGUCCAGAAUCGAAUCUGCCCAUGUGCUGUGCUUUGGAUCAGGACUCCUUUAAUGGACAAAGAUUUGUGUCGUUCUGUGUCUGGGGGCACAGACACACAUGUGUACUAGGACACAUGAAGAGGAGAUGCUUAAUUCAUACACCGUAAUCUUCACUUGUUUUAUGAACUGGAAAUCAAUUCAAUUUCUUCAGAAGAUACACAAAUUGUUUGCAUACACCAGAGGUCACAAGUGGUGUCCUGCUGACCAAAAGGACUCAGGGUUAGCUGUAAUGUUACAUUGAAAUGCUGCAGGUAGGCAUGCCUUGCCAGUUUCUCACAGGCCACCAAGCCUGAUUCCACUUCAUGCCCCACACAGUUGUCUUAUCUGCAUAAACACUAAAGCCAUUUGGAUUUGUCAAGGCUUGACUUACAUACACUUUUUAAAGAUCAACCAUGAUAGACAUAAACUUCCUACUGUAUAAUCUUAUUUCCCCCACCAUAAAUAUGGACAAAAUUAGAGGUUUGCUCUAAAAAUUCAUUCUAGUUUAACGUGAAGUGAAAUGUAGCAAGUUUGUAACUCUUCACUUGAAAUACUUCUGAGAAGCUUUUUUUUACCUCCCAAAUGCUGCCAACUCCCUUCCCACUCUGACAACACUAAUAAUUUAGAACCAUUUUAAUUCUCUGUGAGUCUCAAAGAUGGAAAAUUCAGGUUACAGGAUAAAUCUGGCCUUAAUACAUGCUUUGUUGUGGCUGGGGAUGGGGGGAGUUGUAAGGGGUAAGAGACAGUGUUUAAGAUAUUAAAAAAUAUUUCUCUGCCGCUUCAGAUACAUAUGCUCUGUGCCUGCUGCCUGGAAACAUCUGAGUUUGUGGCCUCUGCUGAAUACAAAUACAGAGACUCAGGUUAGCCCAAGUCAACCCCUUCUCCAUCAUCAGGAGUA